GGAGGAUGCGAGCGUUAUCCGGAUUCAUUGGGCGUAAAGCGCGCGUAGGCGGCGCGUCAAGCGGGACCUCUAACCCCGGGGCUCAACCCCGGGCCGGGUCCCGGACUGGCGCGCUCGAGUGCGGUAGAGGCGAGUGGAAUUCCCGGUGUAGCGGUGGAAUGCGCAGAUAUCGGGAAGAACACCGAUGGCGAAGGCAGCUCGCUGGGCCGACACUGACGCUGAGGCGCGAAAGCUGGGGGAGCGAA
rnacentral:rRNA from 1 species